CAGCCGUAAACUAUGCUCGCUAGGUGUCAGGCAUGGCGCGACCGUGUCUGGUGCCGCAGGGAAGCCGUGAAGCGAGCCACCUGGGAAGUACGGCCGCAAGGCUGAAACUUAAAGGAAUUGGCGGGGGAGCACAACAACGGGUGGAGCCUGCGGUUUAAUUGGACUCAACGCCGGACAACUCACCGGGGACGACAGCAAUAUGUAGGCCAGGCUGAAGACCUUGCCUGAAUCGCUGAGAGGAGGUGCGUGGCGUAGACGUCU
rnacentral:rRNA from 1 species